UGAGUAACCUGCCCUUAACUCUGGGAUAAGCCUGGGAAACUGGGUCUAAUACCGGAUAUGACUCCUCAUCGCAUGGGUGGGGGGUGGAAAGCUUUAUUGUGGUUUUGGAUGGACUCGCGGCCUAUCAGCUUGUUGGUGAGGUAAUGGCUCACCAAGGCGACGACGGGUAGCCGGCCUGAGAGGGUGACCGGCCACACGUGGGACUGAGACACGGCCCAGACCUCCGUACGGGAGCAG
rnacentral:rRNA from 1 species